AUGCAGGUGGUCAUGAUGUUAUGGCUGACUGGUGUGUGUGCAGGUCCUUUAGACCUCAGUAAUAUUAUGCAGGUGGUCAUGAUGUUAUGGCUGACUGGUGUGUGUGCAGGUCCUUUAGACCUCAGUAUGUAUCUCCAACACAAAUAUGGCAAAAAGUCCUGUUAAUCUAAAUAAAACUGUUGUAUUGUAAAAAUGGUCUUAGAUUAUCAGCUUCCUUCCACCAUGAGUCAGCCCUCAUCUCUCUCUUUCUCUCUCUGUUUCACUAAGCUAUCUUCCUGUGUGUCAGAAAGUCGAGCAUCAAGCCAAUAAGCUGUGAAGGCUGUGAUCUAGCUCCUAGCUAUUUACUGUUCUGUGUGUGUGCGUUUGUGUGUGUGGUAGUCUGUUUUCUGACUGUGUGUUUAAAAAAAGCCUAAACAGGACUGAGCUUUUGCUGAGCAUUGAGUCAGCACAGCUCCAGUUUGAAUCCCUGACCAUGACUGUCCCAGCCAGCCGGCUUGACACAGUGUGUGUGAGCAUGUUUGUGUCUGGAUGUGUGUGUAUGCGUCUAUGCGUGCGUGUGUGUUUGUGUGGAUGUCUGUAUGUGUGCUUGUUUGACUGUAUAUGUGCAAGUGUUUGCUUAUGGGUGAGUUUAUAUCUCUGUCUGUGUGUCUGUGUGUUUCUGUCUAAGAGUGUUUGUCUGUGUGUUUCUGUCUAAGAGUGUUUGUCUGUGUGUCUGUGUGUUUCUGUCUAAGAGUGUUUGUCUGUGUGUCUGUGUGUUUCUGUCUAAGAGUGUUAGUCUGUGUGUGUCUACAGCAGGAAGGUGGAAACCAGGACAAACAAAUUACACAUAAUAUUUGCUUCCAACUCUGCACACAUUCUCUCUCUUUCUCUUUCUUCUUCUAAGAAACACACCAAGAUAGUCACACACAAUACAUUGCAUGGAGCUAGAAUGAGGGUUAGGGUUAGGGAGGUCUGUGCUGGUUUGCAUGUUUUAGCAACAACCAAGCAACAUGAGGCCAGGCUGAGUAGAACACCGUCUCUGUGUGAGAUCAUCAGCAUCUGUGAUAUAAACAGUCAGCAGGGGUUUGUUCUGGAUUCUCCCAGCCAACAUUACCCUCUUUCAUCAUUACCUUAUUUCAUCAUUACCCUCCAUCAUUACCCUGUUUCAUCAGAUAUGUGGACUCAAGUCACAUAUUUUGCGACUUAAAACUUGACUUGGUAGAAAGAGAAAACACUUGCAACUCGACUUCAUGCCUGACUGGCUGUGUCCACUGACGGGAAUAUCCACUGACGGGAAUAUCCACUAAUGGGGGUAUCUACUAAUGGAAGUAUCCACUAAUGGGAGUGUCCACUAAUGGAAGUACCCACUAAUGGGAGUAUCCACUAAUGGAAGUAUCCACUAAGGGGGGUAUCCACUAAUGGGGGUAUCCACUAAUGGGAGUAUCCACUAAUGGGGGUAUCCACUAAUGGAAGUAUCCACUAAUGGGGGUAUCUACUAAUGGAAGUAUCCACUAAUGGGAGUGUCCACUAAUGGAAGUACCCACUAAUGGGAGUAUCCACUAAUGGGGGUAUCCACUAAUGGUAUUAUCCACUAAUGGAAGUAUCCACUAAUGGGAGUAUCCACUAAUGGGGGUAUCUACUAAUGGAAGUAUCCACUAAUGGGAGUGUCCACUAAUGGAAGUACCCACUAAUGGGGGUAUCCACUAAUGGGGGUAUCCACUAAUGGAGGUAUCCACUAAUGGGAUUAUCCACAAAUGGGAUUAUCCACUAAUGGGGGUAUCCACUAAUGGGGGUAUCCACUAAUGGGAGUAUCCACUAAUGGGGGUAUCUACUAAUGGGAGUAUCCACUAAUGGGAUUAUCCACUAAUGGUAUUAUCCACUAAUGGGGGUAUCCACUAAUGGGAGUAUCCACUAAU
ensembl:lncRNA